GCCAUGUGACGCGGUCACUGGGAGGCCACCUCUGUCGUCAACUUUUUAGACGCAAGUUCCCAUGAGAAAAAAAAAAAGCAAACAAGGAUCUAUGCGAUGGUCAACUUUAGAUCCGGGCAAGGCUGUUCCCAGUUGUCUUGAAGCACCAUAAAUCCAGAGAAUGCCAGACUUUGAUGACACAAUUUAGCAACUAAGGACCACCGCGCCACCUUCCUGUUCAAGUGAGCACAGCACAACAAGGUCGCAGUUGGAAAUGAGAACAUGUUCUCAACUUGCCUACCUGGUUAAAUAAAGAUCACACAAUUGUGGCCAGCUCGACAGUCCGACGCUGUGCCGCAUCUUUGAGGCGGUGGGGCUGAGUCUUCCAGUUCGCCUGCUGGUGACUGCAGUCCGGGGGAGUGAUGCCUCCGGCUUGCCCCCAGAGGAGCAUCUGUCUCUGGGCACAGCUCUGCUGGCUGUCCUCAGCUCCUCACCACCAUCCCUCUACUGCUCGGGCUGCUGGUCGAUGGGCCCAAAUGGAGCCCGCAGAAACAAGCACCAGGCUAGACAAGAGAUGGAACCAGACCAGCCAAGCCAGACUGAACAGUCAUCACAGAGCACGAACACUACCAGGAGUCUGCAGGAAUCAAAGCACCAGCUCAGGAUGCGAAGAGCCCUACAGGCUCUGAGGAAGGUACUGUAGAGAAUGGAGCUCCAACUUCCCAUUCAACAGUCAAACAGCAACUUCACACAGCCGUUGAGGAGUGGGACAACAUUCCACAGGGCACAAUCAACAGCCUGAUCAACUCUAUGCGAAGGUGAUGUCACACUGCAUGAGGCAAAUGGUGGUCACACCAGAUACUGACUGGUUUUCUGAUCCACGCCCCUACCUUUUUGGGGGGUAUUUGUGACCAACAGUGGUGG